rnacentral:rRNA from 1 species
UACGGAGGGGACUAGCGUUGUUCGGAAUUACUGGGCGUAAAGCGCACGUAGGCGGAUUUGUUAGUCAGGGGUGAAAUCCCGAGGCUCAACCUCGGAACUGCCUUUGAUACUGCAAAUCUCGAGUCCGGAAGAGGUGAGUGGAAUUCCUAGUGUAGAGGUGAAAUUCGUAGAUAUUAGGAAGAACACCAGUGGCGAAGGCGGCUCUCUGGGACGGUACUGACGCUGAGACGCGAAAGCGUGGGGAGCGAACAGG